rnacentral:rRNA from 1 species
AUGGCUGCCGCGUGCUGCAUCGCCGCAUCCGCCGUCAUCGCCGGUGCUGCAAUGGAGUGCGCCCGGGGCUUCAAUGGAGCACCAUGGGGGGUCGUUGGAGCUUUGUCGCGAUUGCAAUGGAGCUUUGUCGGAGCUUCAAUGGAGCCCGCCAGAGGCUGCAAUGGAGCACCGCCGGGGUCGUUAGAGCUCGCGCGGCUGCAAUUGAGCUUCGUCGGAGCUUCAAUGGAGCGUGCCAGGGGCUGCAAUGGAGCGCCGCUGAGGACAUUGGAGCUCGCCGCGGCUGCAAUGGAGCGCCGCCGGGGUCGCUGGAGCUUGUCGCGGCUGCAAUGGAGCUUUCACCGGAGCUUUUUUUCGUGCUGCCGUGCAGGGUCCAGAUACCCGCAGGCUGCAGGGGUGGUCCUUCCGCGAGCGCGAACAACGUUGCUGCAAGGCGAGGACGGCGCUAGGGCCGAGCCUGGUGCUGCGAGCGAGCGAGGCAUGACCGGCUGCAAUUGCGAGCUCGUCGGAGCUUCAGUACCUAUCUAG